UCUCUGGACUGCAACGGUCUUCUUGUGCU
rnacentral:piRNA from 1 species